AACUAAGUUUGUUCUUGGUAUGAGCUUUCGUGUGCAUGCACUUCUUCUGAAGAAGUGUGCAUGCACACGAAAGCUCAUACCAAGAACAAACUUAGUUGG